GCUGGGGCUAUAGCUCAGUGGUAGAGUGCCCACCUCGCAUGUGUGAGGCACUGAGUUCGAUCCUCAGCACAACA
rnacentral:tRNA from 1 species